AAUGGACCCAAGCCCAUUUUAAUUCAGCCCAUUUGAAUUAACCCAUUUAAGAAAAGUCAAUAUGAAUUGGGAAUUUACUUAGAUGCCCUCCUGAAUUAAUUGACUCGUUUCUGUGUUUCUUCUUCGGUCCACAUAAGCCUGUGAACCACUUUUUCUGCUGAAACAUUCUCCCGUGAACCACGUUUUUUUCCUUUUUCCGAACACAUAAAUUGACCGCUUGAUCUUCCUCAUCCUGCAACCAUUUGAAGAUCCGAAGAGACAUAUCUCUUCGGUUUUGAAACCUCUUUAAUAUAGGACUGAUUUAAUUGAAAUCAAACGGUUCAAAAAAUUCAAUAAAAUCAUGAAACGUUUGGCGUUCACUCUUCCCUUUUGGCGUUUUCUCUUCCCUGGUUCAGCCUUGUCUUUGCCUAUAAAUAGGCUAGCUUUCUCUUCAUUCUAAGCUAGAGAUU
rnacentral:lncRNA from 1 species